rnacentral:lncRNA from 10 species
AUUACUGUGCUAUUUAUUUAUAAUUUUCAUUUUGUAAUAUAGUUAUUUUAAAUUUUCUCCUUCAUUAUUAUUAUCUACAUUUUACCCAUGAGGGAACUGAGGCUUUCCCUCAUGGCUCUACAUGGCUCUACAUGUAGAGUGAGCUCUACAGUAGCCAUGUAAGGCACAGAGCUAGAAUCCAAGCCCAUAAAUGUUUGAAUUGAAAGCCUAGCCUCUUAACUACUUCCCUGAAUAUCAUGCAUAAGUUGCUUUAGUUUCUUUAGUCACUUUGUUAAUUUGUUUUUAUUUUUCACAGGUCUGUAUGCUUUGCUCUGUGGGCUAUCAUCUUUUUUCCUGCCAUCGGUCAGAAAAAACAUGUCGAAGAUGGAUGGCAUUAGAUUAUGCAGGAAUUUCUAUUGGAAUACUGGGCUGCUAUGUCUCAGGAGUAUUUUACGCAUUUUAUUGUAAUAACUACUGGCGUCAGGUGUACUUGAUCACAGUGCUUGCUAUGAUCCUGGCAGUGUUCUUUGCGCAGAUUCAUCCCAAUUACCUCACGCAGCAAUGGCAAAGGCUCCGUUCUAUCAUCUUUUG